rnacentral:rRNA from 1 species
AACGGAAAGGCCCAGCUUGCUGGGUGCUCGAGUGGCGAACGGGUGAGUAACACGUGGGUGAUCUGCCUCUAACUUCGGGAUAAGCUUGGGAAACUGGGUCUAAUACCGGAUAGGACAAUCGUUUAGUGUCGGUUGUGGAAAGUUUUUUCGGUUAGGGAUGAGCCCGCGGCCUAUCAGCUUGUUGGUGGGGUAAUGGCCUACCAAGGCGUCGACGGGUAGCCGGCCUGAGAGGGUGGACGGCCACAUUGGGACUGAGAUACGGCCCAGACUCCUACGGGAGGCAGCAGUGGGGAAUAUUGCACAAUGGGCGCAAGCCUGAUGCAGCGACGCCGCGUGGGGGAUGACGGCCUUCGGGUUGUAAACCUCUUUCGACAGGGACGAAGCUUUGGUGACGGUACCUGUAUAAGAAGCACCGGCUAACUACGUGCCAGCAGCCGCGGUAAUACGUAGGGUGCGAGCGUUGUCCGGAAUUACUGGGCGUAAAGAGCUCGUAGGUGGUUUGUCGCGUCGUCUGUGAAAUUCCGGGGCUUAACUUCGGGCCUGCAGGCGAUACGGGCAUAACUUGAGUGCUGUAGGGGAGACUGGAAUUCCUGGUGUAGCGGUGGAAUGCGCAGAUAUCAGGAGGAACACCGAUGGCGAAGGCAGGUCUCUGGGCAGUAACUGACGCUGAGGAGCGAAAGCAUGGGGAGCGAAUAGGAUUAGAUACCUUGGUAGUCCAUGCCGUAAACGGUGGGCGCUAGGUGUAGGGGUCUUCCACGACUUCUGUGCCGUAGCUAACGCAUUAAGCGCCCCGCCUGGGGAGUACGGCCGCAAGGCUAAAACUCAAAGGAAUUGACGGGGGCCCGCACAACCGGCGGAACAUGUGGAUUAAUACCAUGCAACGCGAAGAACCUUACCUGGGCUUGACAUAUACAGGACUGGG